CGUCAGUGGGUAGACACUUCUCAUACAAAAACUAGUCUCUAUAUGUAGCAAUUGAUAUACAACCUUAUCCCUUAAGCAAUAAAGUGCAUUUUGGAUUGAUUUCACUAUAGCAGGGGAACCCGCGGAUCAAUACCACCAUACUAAAAAUAAUUGUUAGUGUCCUUAUGUUGGUAGUAUUGUUAGUUUGACAAAUGAAAAAAAAAUGUCUGUCAAUUGAGUUUGAGUUUUUAACCGGCGAAUUGAUUCGUGUGAAGUUAUUUUCUCAGAUUUGGUGCAAUAUUACUGUAAAUAAACUUUUCUGUCGUUUACGUUGAGUUGAUUAAGUUCCUCCGUAUCGGGCGUGAUAAAGUUUGCUGUUCAGUGUUAUGUUUUUUGUGAGAUAGAGACUCUUUUAAAUAAGCUGUGUUUCAACUUCUACAGAAGUUUAAACUCUUAUUUACUUUUCUGUUUAAUGGGUAUGUUAUCUACUUACUUGAAAUAUUACAUCUAUUACAAAUCUAUUUUUCAUUAAAAACAACCCUAUGUGAUGAAAAUGUAAAUGUACUUUCAAAACUGGUAAAUGCAUGAACCAGGGCAUUGACACUGGUUGGAGAGAAAUUAUAGGCUUUGUUUAAUUAAUACCUAUUUCAUUUUAGGCUUCUACUGAUAAUGGAGAGUAGAAACAACAAGAAGUGCGUUAUUUGUAAUAAGAGGCGAAGUCGUGGUGGAUCACCCUUACUUUUGAGUAGGUUUCCUCUGGAUUCUGACCGUUGUCGAAUGUGGGUUAAAAAUGCUGGCUUAGAAGACUUAGCAUAUGUACCUAUUGAAAAGUUACACCAACUGAAGUUUGUUUGUGGUGGGCACUUCACUCCUGAAUCCUUCAAUGCCAAAGGAACUCGGCUGAAGAACUCAGCUAUUCCAACACUGGAAUUGAGCAAUCCCAUCUUGGCAGAUGAAGUUUUGACAGAGUUUCCUCUUCAUGUAAAAGACUCCAAUAAAGAAAACCUCAAGACAGUUCUUUAUGAUCAUUCAUAUUGCAUUCCAAAGAAGUCAAAUCCAGUUGAACGAG